GUUUAUAAAAGAUGCAUGAAGGGAGAGAUGAUUCCUGAUGUUGGUGUGCUAGGCAUAAAGGUGCACAGAUCUACUUCAGGUCACAUGAUGCUAGUCUACAUAAGAAUUCAUGUCAUGUGAUUUUUAGCAUUGAUGACAUAUUGAUGCCUGUUGCUACAAAGUGGUGUGUGCUGUAAAAGUGCUAACCAAAAACAAAAUAAAAUUGAACCCCGAGGCUCCAGCAGCUCAGAGGAACCAAUAACAAUUGUUUAAGAAUUUCUUUAUAUUCAUUAAUAAAGUAACUACCAGAACCAAAUGAUCUGACCGGGCUAUUUGCUAAAGUGAGAAUUC